CAGCUUGAAUGAGUCUUCAUUGCAUAUUAUUAUGGUAUUGUGUCUAAACAAAUCCUCUUCCUGAAGGCUGUGACUUUACCGCACUUGUUUCCAUGGCACCUAUAUGAUGCUUGCCCACCACACAGCUUCCUGUUCUGACAUGAGUAUUUUGUCACAUGAGCCCUUUAGCGUGUGUCAAAAAUGCUCCUGUUGCUGUUUCUGCAGUUGGCCCAGUUAGGCAAACGGCUGAUGAAAUGCCCCAUUACUCCAAUAGGCUUUCAUUUGCUGGCUGUUUUAUUGUUCUCAUCAGGUUCUGCACUUGAACAAUCUCUGGACACGAUAAUAGAGAAAGGGAGUUCCGUGACUCUGAACUGUUCUCAAAAGAAAUCCCAACAUACUUACAUGUUCUGGUAUAAGCAAGAGAGAGGAAAGGAUAUGCAGCUUCAGUUGGUGGUUUUUUCAAUUGAAGGUUUUGGAGGAAAGGAUGAUGUUGAAAAGGAAUUUAAAAACCGCUUCAAGACCACUGGAGUGAAGGAUUAUGAAUUGCCUCUGUCAUUGGAGAAUGCUCAGGUGGAAGACACUGGCACUUACUUCUGUGCCAAGAGAGAAUACACAGUGAGAUAACCAAUGUGGAAGCUGAACAUAAACCUCUUCACAUGGGAACCCAAGACGAUAAAAUAAAUCAGCUGUUAUCCA